UCCCUCAUUUUUCCAACCACUAACUCCCGCUCCUACCUCAUUUUAGUUGGUCAAAAUCGUUUUUUAAUUAUUGAGCAAAACAGGCCACGUGUCAUCGAUUCAUUAGACACUAAGUCAAGUGUUUUGGCCCUUCUGUUUUUCUCUUUAAAUUUUUUGGGUGUGUAUAAUAUGAUUUGGACGACUAAAAUGACAUGACACGAUUUAAAUGGAUAAUUAAUCCAUGUUAAGUUUUCUCUCCUUACUGCUCUUGACCCAGAUCAUGACCAUGAAUACAAAGGGGAAAGAUUACUGUUAAGGCUUUGCAUGAUAGGAAAGAUGUGUAUUUUUUGUUGCAAGUAGAGGGAGAAUUUGUAUACAAGAAAGGAUGGUGGGUGUAAACUAUCACCUGAUACAUGCAACAACAAAAAUUGAUCCAUGGCAGAUUGUAUGGUGGAACCCUAGUGGACAACAGAGAUGUUAAUGGGGGAGACAGAUUUGGUCAUCUAGUUGAUUUACAUGCUUGGAACCCACAUUGUCUGAAUCUGGACGGGGUUACAUUUUGAUGAAUUAAAGAUAUACAUGUAACUUGUACUAUAGAUGAAAAUAUCAGAUAGAAUUUCUAAUGGUCUAUCUGGUUGCUAUCAUGGUGGAAUUGUAAUAUCAGAUGGAUGGACAUCAUUAGGUUUCAGCUACUUUGAAGGAAGAGAAACCCUUACAUU